rnacentral:rRNA from 1 species
UACGUAGGGGGCAAGCGUUGUCCGGAUUUAUUGGGCGUAAAGAGCGUGUAGGCGGCUUUACAGGUCCGUUGUGAAAACUCGAGGCUCAACCUCGAGACGCCGGUGGAAACCGUAAGGCUAGAGUCCGGAAGAGGAGAGUGGAAUUCCUGGUGUAGCGGUGAAAUGCGCAGAUAUCAGGAAGAACACCCGUGGCGAAGGCGGCUCUCUGGGACGGUACUGACGCUGAGACGCGAAAGCGUGGGAGCGAACAGG